UCUGCAUGCUGUCUUUAAGGUCGUAAUCGAUGCGCGAGAUGAGGUGUGCAUUGAACCCAGAGAGGGCAAACAGGACCGGUGUGGUGGCAGAAGCUCCAAAUGGAUCUACAUGCCAGGAGAACUGAGGACGCACCCCAAAUGUCUCGUAUAAGAAACCAUGGCCCUCAGUCAUCUGUAAGAUCUCAUCAUUAAGUUCAAAGGUCCCUCUCUAUCUCCCCACACAUCCACCAACCACUGGAACACAUCUCCAAAGUUCUGCUGGACCAGCUCAGCUUCCCCUCAGAAGAAGUGCUGCCACCUGCCAGAUGAAGGAGCCUUUUGAGAGGCAGCUGGCAUCGUGAUUGGACUGUACUUUGGUCUGUUCCAAUCCAGCUUCAGCUCCAGAGACGGCAGGCGGGACGAGUCAAUGGAGGCCUGGUGGACGAAGGCAUGCAGCUGAGUACAAUCCAGAAAACAACAGAGGAGGAGGGCAGCAGCCCAGAGCCAGAACAACCAGAGUAGCAUCGUAUGUCUCUUAGAAAACAUCAUAGUAUAGCCUUUGGUAUGAAAAAACACCAUCAUAUACAUCAUAUAUUGUACAAAUAACAAGUCUAAGGAAAGAGACAUACAUUAUAGAAUUGUAAUUGUGGGCUGACUGAUUUACUGACUAUCAGUAUUUUAUUUUUUUUUACUGAUUUAUGGUAAUAAAUACAUUGAAAAAUGGUGCUACUUUGGCUCUGAACCUCAAUCUACCUGUGGUUGCUCUGUCUUCUGGAGUGAUUUGAUUGGUUAUACAUCACAAAUAAAACUCCUUUAACUUAACAUCUGUAAACAAAACAAAAACGUAUCAACAAAGUUUAGAGUUUAGUUAGAGUUUGUGUUCUUCUAAGUAGAUAGUAGUAAAUAUUUUCAUUUACUGCAAAUGAAUAUCUACUCCAAAUGUUUCACUAAUAAUAAUUAUCAGCCUUAAAAACCCACAAAACACCCCUCUAUACUCGACCACACUUAGUACAGUCCGGUUCCCCCUUCUAUAAAUCUGCUUGGAAUCUUCCACUUCCUGUUUGUCAAAGUGGCCUUCUACCUGGACAGGUUUUGUUGGAGCUCAUGCAGCAAACAUUUUGGGUAACUGCACUUUAAUAUGGAUGGAUGACACUGAAUUAGAGUCUGUUUUAAUGAGACUAAGUUAAGAUGUGUAGCUCUGUCAUUAAAUAGGAAAUUAUUUCUCAGAAUUCACAGAGAAAAGUCUGAAAUGUUUGCUAGGUUAGCAUCCCACAUGUUCUUUGGCUCAGCUAAAGCUAAUUCUCUCCAACUUCUGGAUCUCUUGAGUUGCUUGUUGUUAAAAUAUCUUGCUAGAGGUGCUGAAGCUCAGAAAGUCUGAGAUGUUUGUUCAAAAUAAGCUCAUUCUCAAGUCUGAUCUGAACUGUCCUAUUGUUUGAACUUUCCCUAAACUUAGCAGUUAAUGACAGAGCAGCACAUCCAGACUCAGUCUCAUUUAUGUAGAGAUUAAACUUCAGUGUCAUUCAUUGAUGUUAAAGUGCAGUUUUUCAAAUGUUUGUUGCACAUGCUCCUGACCAAACCAGUCCAGGUGGAAGACGAUGUGAAGAGAAAGCUCCAGAGGAUGAAUAUCACACAUUUAUGUUGGAAAUAAAUGUCCUUUAAUUAGA